rnacentral:tRNA from 1 species
UUUAUGGAAGGCUAGUGGUUGGGCCACAGCGCUCUCACCACUGCGGCCUGGGCUCGAUUCCCGGCCAGGGAG